GAGAAGUUAGCUCAGUCGGUAGAGCAAAUGGCUGUUAACCAUUAGGUCGUAGGUUCAAACCCUACACUUCUCG
rnacentral:tRNA from 1 species